rfam:Thorarchaeota archaeon SMTZ1-45 WOR1_30_36_1392, whole genome shotgun sequence.
AGGCCAGUGGUCUAGCGAAUGACAUCUCUCUGAUAUGGCGAAGAUCGAAGGUUCCAGUCCUUCCUGGCCUA